UUUUUUUUGGAAAUUUUCGGACGGAAAGAGGAGAUGGAAAGUAGCCGACCGGGUGGAGAAACGCGUGAGAAAACCCUCCUCCCCACAAAGGGGGGAUAGCCAUUGGAAAACGGUGAUUAAUACCCUUUGACAGGGACGCUUCGCAUGGAGCAGCCAUUAAAGUGUUAGCGGUGUGAGAUGGUUCUCGCGUCUGAUUAGCUAGUUGUGGAGAUAACAGCUCACCAAGGCGACGAUCAGUAGCCGGCUUGAGAGAGUGAACGGCCACACUGGAACUGAGACACGGUCCAGACUCCUACGGGAGGCAGCAGUGGGGAAUAUUGCACAAUGGAGGAAACUCUGAUGCAGCGACGCCGCGUGAGCGAAGAAGGCCUUCGGGUUGUAAAGCUCUGUCCUUGGUGAAGAUAAUGACGGUAGCCAAGGAGGAAGCCCCGGCUAACUACGUGCCAGCAGCCGCGGUAAUACGUAGGGGGCGAGCGUUGUCCGGAAUUAUUGGGCGUAAAGGGUACGUAGGCGGUUUUUUAAGUCAGCAGUUAAAGCGCGGGGCUCAACCCCGUAAAGCUGUUGAAACUGGAGAACUCGAGAGAUGGAGAGGAAAGUGGAAUUCCUAGUGUAGCGGUGAAAUGCGUAGAUAUUAGGAGGAAUACCGGUGGCGAAGGCGACUAUCUGGACAUCAACUGACGCUGAGGUACGAAAGCGUGGGGAGCAAACAGGAUUAGAUACCCUGGUAGUCCACGCCGUAAACGAUGAGUGAUAGGUGUCGGGGGUCAAACCUCGGUGCCGUCGCUAACGCAGUAA
rnacentral:rRNA from 1 species